ensembl:lncRNA
GUGAAACCAACCGGCAUGCCCACUGGCAUGUAGGCACUGAACCCCGGACUGCAGAAAAUCCGUUAAUCUUCAAGAUUUUGAAGAUUAAUAACGGCUAUCCCAUUCACCACGGAUGGAAACUAAAGGGAAACUUUGGUUUCAGCUUGUGUUUCUACUACUCGAAGUCUAUGUCUGUGACGAUGACUCACAAAGACCACAGUGUUCUGUUAAACUUGGGGAAAUAUGUGCUUCUUCUGACAGCGACACUGAGCUUCAGUUUCAGCAAACUCUUACAUGCAAACAGAAUGAUCACUGGAGGAUGAAGAAAAAUGACAACGACAUUUACUUCUGUCGAAAUGGAUACCACAGCUUCCCUGAUGAGUCUGAGAGAAGCAACCUACAUUUCAGUGAAAUUAGUGGUUCAUUUAAGGUUGUGAAAGUGCAGCAGUCAGACACAGGACUGUAUAAAUUAUGUGACCCCAAUGACAAAUGCGCAUGUGUUGAACUGGUCAUGAGACCAGAUGGAAAAAGUUGUGACGAAGCAGCAGGAGGGCAAAAUGUCCAAGAGAUUCAUAUACCUACAGACUCAAGUAGCAUCACUGGAACCAUAACUGGAAAUGUUUUUGCAAUCCUAUUUGUUCUUGUUUUCAUUUCUUCUUAGAAAUAAGAAAAGGAAG